AAAUGUCUUUGAUCUUAGGCCAGAGGGCAUAAUAGAAGAAAUUAUAUUUUACGUUAAGAUUUUCUUUACCAAAAUCUUCAGUUCCUAGAUUUUCUUGACUUCUUUUCCCCCAAUGGUAGCUCCCUUAAUAUUUUUGCAAAAAGAAAAAAAAAAAAAAGGAUUUAAAUACUUAAAAAAAAAAAAACCCAAGAAACUUGUUGGAAUGUGAGAUUUUGAAGCACAUGCAUCUUAUGUUUUAAAAAACAUAGUACUUUGUGUUUGAAGGUGGGAUAUUUUUUGAACACGAAAGGCACUUUAUAGUACACGAGCAGCUUCCAACGGGGGUUGCUGGAAAGCGAUGUGCUGAGACUGUUGUCUGUACAGAAUCAAGACCUCCCAGGGGAGCUGAGCUCUACAUGCCUCGACCUGAUUAGGUCUAAACUGUGGGUGGGUGGCUGGGUGGAGGGGUGCAUGAACGCAGGGUGCUGUCUUUCUCUCUCUCUCUCAAGUUCUCCAAAUAGGAACAGCUCAGUCCCUGAGAGCCUCCCUCACCUCACUGCAGACUCCAGCCUGAGUGGGCAGCUGUAGAGAUAUCUUAUCAAUUGUGGGGGUCACAACCUAAAAUAUCCUUGCAGGGCAUAUGGUCUUUCAAUUGCGAAUUUAAAAAAUCAUUUCAUUUACCUUUUGCCUAGGCUUUCUUAAGACAUCAUUUGGUAGGUAGGGCAGGAGAGGGCUGCCUUAGCGCUCACAGGGGCCACAUGCAUGCACGGUUCUGGGCCCACACACAUGCAUGCACCUGCCUUGGUGCCAUGGGGUUCAGCCAAAGCUGUCAGUCUCUAACCACCCACCUUCGCCCCCACAAGGCUUGCCAGGUGCCUUCUGGUAUGAUCCUUUUCCCACAAAGGGCUCCUGUGGGAAGAGUGUUCUGGACCAUUCUUCUCACUUUGCUUCCAGCUUUGAUUGAGUUUGAAAAGGUGCAGAGCCUCCUGAAGGUAGCCUGGGUUAGAUUCUCUGUCUUGUCCCCACUGCCUCACCCAAGGUCUGGCCCCCUGCUCCUAGCUCAUUUGUUUCAUUUAUUGAGCAGCAUGAAACAAUCCUGAGUAAAUGUCAGGCUUUGCAGCCUGGCUCUGUCGUUAUCCAGCAUCUAAGAUGUUGGUCCCGCACUAAUUUACCCCAUUUAAUAUAUUUCUCAUUCCCUGUAAACCCCAUACGGAGAAGCUUCACAGUUGGGAGACCUGUGCUACCUCCAGAACCUGCCUGGUUGAACCUCGCAGUGAUCGAAGGCGAGAGCUGCAUCCAGGCUGCCAUUCUCUUUGCUGCCCACCCACACCGAGUGCCUGCUGGGAACAUGGGCUCUGCGUGAUUCUCUCUUUCUGUCUCGCUCUCUCUCACAGAGUCCUCUUUUUCUUUCUAAAGCUAGCUGUCUCCUUGUCUAGACAACCCCCUCUUCCAUCUCCAGAUGGCUUUGUCUGGGAAACCCAUACACUUUCUCACUACCAAGAACUCCUUCCCCAAGAUGCACAGGCAAUUAAACUUCUCUGACUCUCGUGGUGUUACUCCAGUGUGUAAGCAUUUGCCAAGGAAUUAAGACUUUGCCAGGAGGAAACGACAGUCUUCUCAUUUCGUGAAUUGCUUUGGGGUGGUUAUUCCUUUCAGUGGUUAAGACCAUGGUCAGGAUGGGCAUCUCAAAAGCAAGGCUCUGGUCUGUUAAGAUUCCCAGAGACUUUCUAUCAUGUACUUGUAGGGCGCCUGGAUUUUAGGAAAUGAAUUUCCUCAAGAUCAGGUAAAUUGGAAGAUACAAAAAGGGCCAUCCAGAGGCAUGAUUUAUGUCUCAUAAAAUAAAAAAAGAAGCUCUUUUUUUUUUAAUAUCAGCUUUCGUCUGAUUUUAAUUCAGCUUUCUGAUGAGAUCCACCUGCAGUGUCUAUAUUUGUUUUUUUUUCCAGCCAAGGUGCUUGCAGACUCUCUGGUUUCCAGAUCUCAGGGUCAUGAUCUGUUAUGUUACUCUGUGACUCAUCAAACCUCUCAUCCGGCAAAAGUUGGCCUGGGCGGCUCUCCCCCAAGGACAGUUUUUACUAUAGGCAUUUCCUAAACUCUGUGACAUGAUAUGGCAAUCAGUCAGUUCCGAUCAGUGAUGCACUAACAGAUCCCAAGGUUUUCUAAUGAUUUCCUUUUUAUUUGGUCUAAAGUAGCUUGGAAUUUAUCCCUACGAUACUCCUCAUUGCCUUGUGAUAUUCUUUCUUAGGAGGCAGGGAGAGGGGUUAGAGUUGAAGCCAGCCACACCAUGAGUGGCCAAUCUGCUGUGGCUGUUGCCGACGUGCCAGUAAAAGUUUUGAGAAUUGCCAGUUAUAUUAAUGCCUACAUCACAAUUAGUAACAAAACAGCAGAAAAGUUGACGAUGCAAGUAAUAUUUGCAAUAACAUGAUUCAUAUUCAUUACAGUUAAAAAAAGCCUAUAAAUUCAAUGUAAUUUGAAACAAUAAAAUAGUAUAUCCUUGUGCUUGUUUCUUCAGUAAUGCAUGUCUUUUGUUUAAUUAACUUUACCGGUAGAGUAGCUUUGGGAAAAGGGACUCGCAUUUAAAACAAUUGCUUGAAAUGAUAGUAACUGUACUCACUUUUUCCCACAAAAAAUGACAAAAUUUUGAGGUCUUGUAGAUUGCUGUUUCUUGAUCCAUAUGCCUCUGAAAUACAUUUAUAAAUGCCAUGGCGAAAAUUCUAUCAUACUCUCAGUUUAUUUUAUCAAAUUUGAUCUUGUCAAAAAUAGGUUGGGCUUUGGGAAUAUGUCAUAUGUGAACCUCAUCUGUCAGAUAUGUUGUGGAGAAAAUAAAGGUCAAGAACUGUGUUUCUAGAGAUAAUAAACUGUAUGAAUCAAAGGGAAAAAUGCCUGUUCAAGAGCAUUUAUAACUUUUAUCGAUAUUGUUAAAAAUAACCAAACAAACCCUGAAAGAAUCAGGUAGCCCAAAAGGAUUUCUCUUAUCAUUACAGGAGACGGCACUCUUCAUUAUUCGCCUCCCACAGUCUUUGAGAUAGACAUCAUAGAUCAAAUUAAAAGCACCUAUGAUCCUAGAUUUUGCUAUUUGCACAGUAAGAAAAGUGGUUAAAAUUUAGAGAUAAGGAGUUCCUAUCGUGGCUGGACAGGUUAAGAACUCAGCUUGUAUCCUUGAGGAUGCAAAUUUGAUUCCUGGCCUUGAUCAGUGGGUUAAGGAUCCAGCGUCCCCACAAUCUGUGGUGUAGAUCGCAGGUGUGGCCCGGAUUUGGCAUUGUCGUGGCUGUGGCAUAGGCUGGCAGCUGCAGCUCCUAUUUGACCCCUAGCCUGGGAACUUCCUCAUGCUACAGGUGUGGCUGUAAAAAGAAAAAAAAAAAAAAAGAUAAAGAAAAGAUCUCUUUCUUUCUUUCUUUUUUUUUUUUGCUAUUUCUUGGGCCGCACCCACGGCAUAUGGAGGUUCCCAGACUAGGGGUUGAAUCAGAGCUGCAGCCACUGGCCUACACCAGAGCCACAGCAACGCUGGCCCGAGCUGUGUUUGCAACCUACACCACAGCUCACAGCAACCCCGGAUCGUUAACCCACUGAGCAAGGCCAAGGACCGAACCCGCAACCUCAUGGUUCCUAGUCGGAUUCGUUAACCACUGCGCCAUGACGGGAACUCCCUCUUUAUUUCUAAUAGUAUUCUUCUAUAGUCUAUAGACCACUUCUCACUGGUUAAGCAGGAAUGGCAAUAAUAAACCAACCCCUUAAGUCAUUAUGAGAAUUUAAUUUAAUGAUUUAACACAAGUAUACAGCAUGACAUAUAGCACAAUAAGUAUUGGCUGUUAUCCUUAUCGAGCCCAGGCUGGGGAUGAUUCUUCAAGACCAGUAUUCAAAUUCCUUUUUGAUCACAGGAAUGAAAAGCAAUUAUUUGCUGGUAGACUAGAUUUCAGUAUCCAAUGGUAGGAACAGUAUAAUAUUUAAAUGUCCCUUCGUUUUUAUUUAUCUUACUAUUACAACUUCCAGAUUUAUCCCGUGAAUGACCUGACGUACUUGAAUAGAAAAACAUUCCUCUUUAGGCUGAAGACAUUCAAUUUCCAUCUCCAGCUCCAGAAAGCAGCUGUUCUUAUCACAUUAUUGUCCUGAGGAGCCACUUUAUAUAAACGAUGCCAAAGCUAUUGUUGUUUUGUUAAUAAUUCUCCAGCAAGAAUGAGCAGUGCCUUCCUGGGACCUAAGGGCACAUUUUAAGAUUAAUUUCUCAUGGAAGAUCUUUGAAAAGUCAGUGCUACUGAAGACCAAACAUGGAAUAAUGCUUGAGCUCUUUCUUUCUUUCCCUUUUUUUUUUUUUUUUUUUUUUUUGUCCGUUUGUCUUUCUAGGGCCGCACUAGUGGCAUAUGGAGGUUCCCAGGCUAGGGGAUCUAAUCGGAGCUGUAGCCGCCAGCCUACGCCACAGCCACAGCAAUGCCAGAUCUGAGCCUCGUCUGUGACCUACUCCACAGCUCACGGCAACGCCAGAUCCCUAACCCACUGAGCGAGGCCAGGGAUCGAACCUGCAACCUCAUGGUUCCUAGUCGGAUUUGUUAACCACUGAGCCAUGAUGGGAACUCUGGUUUUUCUUUUUUUUGGUUUAAGGUGGUAAUACCCGUUCCUAAAAUAUUUAGGCUUAUGACAUCUCUGGUGGUAUUUUCCAAGAUAUGUUCCAUGAGAUGCUAGUCUUGCAAGAUGCUCCAAGAAAUGAGUGCACUGUGAUCAGAUAAGUUUACUGCCCAUUCUGGGUCCGUUUUGGAAAGUCCACAUUACAUGUCAGCUAGUUGCAAGCUCUGAGCAGUCCUUUUGUUUGUUUGUUUGUUUGUUUGUUUGUUUAGGGCCACACCCUAAGCAUAUGGAAGUUUCCAGGAUAGAAGUCGAAUCAGAACUACAGCUGCCAGCCACAGCCAUAGCCACACCAGAUUCUAGCAGUGUCUGGGACCUACACCACAACUCAUGGCAAUGUUGGAUCCUUAACCCACUGAACAAGGCCAGGGAUCGAACCUGCAUCCUCAUGGAUACUAGUCGGAUUCAUUACCGCUGAGCCAUGACAGAAACUCUUGAGAAGUCUUAGGGUAAAAAAAAUACUGGGAGAAAUAGUUUCUUUGAUGCAGUAUUUUGAAGUUUAAAACAGGCACCCUUUUCAGGUACUUGAGCAGAUCCAAAGCUGCAUCCUGAUGCCAUUUCAGGCCCUAGAAGCAGCUGCGGCUGACUUGUGUGGAGGCGAGGUGACCCUUUACCCAGGCAGGGAUUGUAGAUGGUUCUUCUGCUUCUGUAAUGGAAAAUGUUAGCUUCGCACUCUCAUAUUUGGCAUCGUAAGUUCUUUCCUCAGGCAUGAACCCCAGGUUCCUGCACUACAAGUUUUUCCCUUAGAGUUUAAAGUUGAGGUAACUUCUCUCUAUAUCCUGGAACAGUUGCAG
rnacentral:lncRNA from 1 species